GGGGCUGUAGCUCAAUUGGGAGAGCGCUUCCAUGGCAUGGAAGAGGUUGUCGGUUCGAGCCCGAUCAGCUCCA
rnacentral:tRNA from 1 species